rnacentral:rRNA from 1 species
CCUACGGGUGGCUGCAGUGGGGAAUUUUGGACAAUGGGCGCAAGCCUGAUCCAGCAAUGCCGCGUGCAGGAUGAAGGCCUUCGGGUUGUAAACUGCUUUUGUACGGAACGAAACGGUCCUCUCUAAUACGGGGGGCUAAUGACGGUACCGUAAGAAUAAGCACCGGCUAACUACGUGCCAGCAGCCGCGGUAAUACGUAGGGUGCGAGCGUUAAUCGGAAUUACUGGGCGUAAAGCGUGCGCAGGCGGUUUUGUAAGACAGAUGUGAAAUCCCCGGGCUCAACCUGGGACCUGCAUUUGUGACUGCAAGGCUAGAGUACGGUAGAGGGGGAUGGAAUUCCGCGUGUAGCAGUGAAAUGCGUAGAUAUGCGGAGGAACACCGAUGGCGAAGGCAAUCCCCUGGACCUGUACUGACGCUCAUGCACGAAAGCGUGGGGAGCAAACAGGAUUAGAUACCCUGGUAGUC